rnacentral:ncRNA from 1 species
AGCGAAGCUGGUUAGAUACUGUAGAAUUAUGCACAUGAAACACAGAAAUGCCCAGCCAUGGAUGGCUGGGCAAGGUGUUAUGCGCCAUGGACGGCGCAUAAAAGCCGGUUUCGUCAAGCAUAGAAACACUAUAAAGCAUAAUUCGUACAGAAUCUUAACAGCAAAG